AUCCAAACUACACCCCAGCUGUGGUAAUUCCAUUCAUCAUAGGCGUAUGUUGGCCCAUCCCUGGGCAGAUUGUGAUCUUUCCUUUCUUUGACAGUUUUCUCCUGUAUUCCAGAUUCAUCCUCUCCUCCCAU
rnacentral:lncRNA from 1 species